rnacentral:lncRNA from 1 species
GAAGGGUAAACUCGCACCUGUUCUACCCAGAAGAGUGGCUCAAGUUCACAUUCAGAAUUUAUUUGUUGAAAGAGUAUCUCCACUUUAUCACAAUCGAGCACUUCCAAUUCUUUCAGAAGUGGCCAGCUUGAACUAAACCUUCUAGAGCAAAAUCUUUUCAGUUGGUGUAAACCGGAGAGUGUGAGAGAGGUAAGGUUAGGGAAUAAGAGUAAAGGUGCUGCUUCAUCUUCAUUUUCAUUGGCAACAAUUGCCUCCACUCCACUCUCCGAUAUAUAUAGGUCCUCAAGAUGCACAAGAGCACUCGCCACAGAAACCGGAAAAAGGUUUAGCAGUUUGUUGCAUCCCCUUACUUGCAAUUUCCUUAAUUUGGAAAAUGAAUUUGCUGGAAGUUGGUCAGGCCACAAUGCUCUUAUAUUAUCUAGUCCGCGUACAGACAAGGACUCCAACCCUGGGAGUGCAACCUCUGCAAUUGAUGAUCCCUUUAGUUAAUAAUAUAUACAUAUACAUUCCUAAUAAUUAGACACAUGUAAAUAGAAAAUAAGAGGUUAAAGGAGAAUAUAUCAGUAUAACAAAGCACAAAAUUUAAACUAGAUUCAAGAAGAUCAAGAAAGAGAAAAGAAAAGAAAAAGCCUCCAGAUUUUGAAGAUACAAUGAAACUUAAAAAAAAAAAAAAAAACCUUCAAAUUUUCCUUUCGAAAUGAGCUAAUAAGAGGAUUUUUUUUUUCUUUUUUCUUUGCAUCUCUUUCAAAUUUGAUUAACUUCUAUGGAAAACGUAUUUUAACUAGUUAUGGAAAACGGAUAUUUUUUUUUUAACUUUUAUAUAAGAUACAAGUAAUACUUUAAAAAAAUUGUGAUAUCUAAAUAAUUUUUUGAAAAAUUAUUUUGAAAGAAAUAAGGUAAAUCUAUACUUUUUGUAUAAGAUGUUCAACCUUUAUAUACAAAUUUCUAAUUUUUUUUUUUAAAGUGUAUCCAAAUGGACACUAAACUAUCUAGUUUUUAAUUGUUACAACUUUGAAUUGGAUUUUAUGGUAAACUAAUUUACAAGUUAAUGCAUGGAUUCAUCUUAGAUUCCAUCUAUAAAUUUUUUUAAUUAUCUAAUAUAAGACAUUAUAUUAAUGGGUUGAAUUAAUAAUGUAAUUAUAAUUUAUUUGGCAACUUUCUUCCUUCAAAUAUAUAAAAUGAAAAUAAAUUUUAAAAAAUAAAAAAAAUGAAAAAAAUAAAAAAUAAAAAAAGAUUUUUUUUAUAGUUUUUCUAAGGUGAUUUUGUAGAGUAUUGUUAGUUUAUAGUUUUAACUUUAUUUCAUUUUACUUUUAACUUUAUUUAUUGAGGUAUGUUCUUUUUUGCAACUCUUGUUUAGAUUUUAUAGAGAAUAUAAAUUUUAAGAAAAAAAAUGAAAUUUAAAUAAAAUAAGAAUAAAGAAAGGCAAAAGGUGGAUGAAUUUUCUUAAGGCAAAAGUUUGAUAACUUGGCACUAUCAUGUAAUGGGUGAAAUUUUUAAAUACUCAACAAAGGCUAGUGAAAUUUAAAUUAAAAGCUUGACAUGUACCUUUUCGACCAAAAUCUUUGGAGUUGGUGUAAAGUUUUGAGUAUGAGAGAGGUUAGUAUAGGGAAUAUUAUUGCACAUUAGUUCAAAUAAAACAUCAACAUUUUUUUUUGUUAAAUUCUAAAUGAACACCACUAUAAAUUAAUGCGAUUUUGUAUGCUCAAUUAAAUAAACUCGUUCUUAAGGCAUCACAUGAAGUGUUUAAGUCUAAUUAAUAUUAAUUAAAAAUGAUUAUAUUAAAAAAAAUCCAAAGUAAUUUAUUUUUAUCAUAAGUCAAGUAGGAUAGUUUUAUAAAUAAUUGGUUCUAGUUUCUAGUAUUAUUGUACACAAUCGCUAUGUUUGUUGCACCUCCAAAAAAUCUACUACUUGUAAUUAAUUGUAUAUUAUUCUCCAUAUUCACAUCAGUUUAUGUAGUAUGAUUAAUUUAGCAACAAAAUAUAAGUUUACUUGAAAUCGCUUUAAAUUCCUAUGAUAUUAAAGUUUAAGAUUAAAACAAUGUAACAUUAGCCAAAAAGAUUAAGAUCUAUAAUGUAACAUAUAAAAUUUAGAAAAUUCAAGGAAGGGUAAACUCGCACCUGUUCUACCCAGAAGAGUGGCUCAAGUUCACAUUCAGAAUUUAUUUGUUGAAAGAGUAUCUCCACUUUAUCACAAUCGAGCACUUCCAAUUCUUUCAGAAGUGGCCAGCUUGAACUAAACCUUCUAGAGCAAAAUCUUUUGAGUUGGUGUAAACCGGAGAGUGUGAGAGAGGUAAGGUUAGGGAAUGAGAGUAAAGGUGCUGCUUCAUCUUCAUUUUCAUUGGCAACAAUUGCCUCCACUCCACUCUCCGAUAUAUAAAGGUCCUCAAGUUGCACAAGAGCACUCGCCACAGAAACCGGAAAAAGGUUUAGCAAUUUGUUGCAUCCCCUUCCUUGCAAUUUCCUUAAUUUGGAAAAUGAAUUUGCUGGAAGUUGGUCAGGCCACAAUGCUCUUAUAUUAUCUAGUCCACGUACAGACAAGGACUCCAAGCCUGGGAGUGCAACCUGUGCAAUUGAUGAUCCCUUUAGUUAAUAAUAUAUACAUAUACAUUCCUAAUAAUUAGACACAUGUAAAUAGAAAAUAAGAGGUUAAAGGAGAAUAUAUCAGUAUAACAAAGCACAAAAUUUAAACUAGAUUCAAGAAGAUCAAGAAAGAGAAAAGAAAAGAAAAAGCCUCCAGAUUUUGAAGAUACAAUGAAACUUAAAAAAAAAAAAAAAAAAACUUCCAAAUUUUCCUUUCGAAAUGAGGUAAUAAGAGGAUUUUUUUUUUCUUUUUUCUUUGCCUCUCUUUCAAAUUUGAUUAACUUCUAUGGAAAACGUAUUUUAACUAGUUAUGGAAAACCGAUUUUUUUUUUUUUAACUUUUAUAUAAGAUACAAGUAAUACUUUAAAAAAAUUGUGAUAUCUAAAUAAUUUUUUGAAAAAUUAUUUUUAAAGAAAUAAGGUAAAUCUAUACUUUUUGUACAAGAUGUUCUACCUUUAUAUACAAAUUUCUGAUUUUUUUUUUAAAAGUGUAUCCAAAUGGACACUAAACUAUCUAGUUUUUAAUUGUUACAACUUUGAAUUGGAUUUUAUGGUAAACUAAUUUACAAGUUAAUGCAUGGAUUCAUCUUAGAUUCCAUCUAUAAAUUUUUUUAAUUAUCUAAUAUAAGACAUUAUAUUAAUGAGUUGAAUUAAUAAUGUAAUUAUAAUUUAUUUGGCAACUUUCUUCCUUCAAAUAUAUAAAAUGAAAAUAAAGUUUAAAAAAUAAAAAAAAUGAAAAAAAUAAAAAAUAAAAAAUGAUUUUUUUUAUAGUUUUUCUAAGAUGAUUUUGUAGAGUACUGUUAGUUUAUAGUUUUAACUUUAUUUCAUUUUACUUUUAACUUUAUUUAUUGAGGUAUGUUCUUUUUUGAAACUCUUGUUUAGAUUUUAUAGAGAAUAUAAAUUUUAAGAAAAAAAAUGAAAUUUAAAUAAAAUAAGAAUAAAGAAAGGCAAAAGGUGGAUGAAUUUUUUUAAGGCAAAAGUUUGAUAACUUGGCACUAUCAUGUAAUGGGUGAAAUUUUUAAAUACUCAACAAAGGCUAGUGAAAUUUAAAUUAAAAGCUUGACAUGUACCUUUUCGACCAAAAUCUUUGGAGUUGGUGUAAAGUUUUGAGUAUGAGAGAGGUUAGUCUAGGGAAUAUUAUUGCACAUUAGUUCAAAUAAAACAUCAACAUUUUUUUUUUGUUAAAUUCUAAAUGAACACCGCUAUAAAUUAAUGCGAUUUUGUAUGCUCAAUUAAAUAAACUUGUUCUUAAGGCAUCACAUGAAGUGUUUAAGUCUAAUUAAUAUUAAUUAAAAAUGAUUAUAUUAAAAAAAAUCCAAAGUAAUUUAUUUUUAUCAUAAGUCAAGUAGGAUAGUUUUAUAAAUAAUUGGUUCUAGUUUCUAGUACUAUUGUACACAAUCGCUAUGUUUGUUGCACCUCCAAAAAAUCUACUACUUGUAAUUAAUUGUAUAUUAUUCUCCAUAUUCACAUCAGUUUAUGUAGUAUGAUUAAUUUAGCAACAAAAUAUAAGUUUACUUGAAAUCGCUUUAAAUUCCUAUGAUAUUAAAGUUUAAGAUUAAAACAAUGUAACAUUAGCCAAAAAGAUUAAGAUCUAUAAUGUAACAUAUAAUAUUUAGAAAAUUCAAGGAAGGGUAAACUCGCACCUGUUCUACCCAGAAGAGUGGCUCAAGUUCACAUUCAUAAUUUAUUUGUUGAAAGAGUAUCUCCACUUUAUCACAAUCGAGCACUUCCAAUUCUUUCAGAAGUGGCCAGCUUGAACUAAACCUUCUAGAGAAAAAUCUUUUGAGUUGGUGUAAACCGGAGAGUGUAAGAGAGGUAAGGUUAGGGAAUAAGAGUAAAAGUGCUGCUUCAUCUUCAUUUUCAUUGGCAACAAUUGCCUCCACUCCACUUUCCGAUAUAUAUAGGUCCUCAAGUUGCACAAGAGCACUCGCCACAGAAACCGGAAAAAGGUUUAGCAAUUUGUUGCAUCCCCUUACUUGCAAUUUCCUUAAUUUGGAAAAUGAAUUUGCUGGAAGUUGGUCAGACCACAAUGCUCUUAUAUUAUCUAGUCCGCGUACAGACAAGGACUCCAAACCUGGGAGUGCAACCUGUGCAAUUGAUGAUCCCUUUAGUUAAUAAUAUAUACAUAUACAUUCCUAAUAAUUAGACACAUGUAAAUAGAAAAUAAGAGGUUAAAGGAGAAUAUAUCAGUAUAACAAAGCACAAAAUUUAAACUAGAUUCAAGAAGAUCAAGAAAGAGAAAAGAAAAGAAAAAGCCUCCAGAUUUUGAAGAUACAAUGAAACUUAACAAAAAAAAAAAAAAACCACCAAAUUUUCCUUUCGAAAUGAGGUAAUAAGAGGAUUUUUUUUUUUUCUUUUUUCUUUGCCUCUCUUUCAAAUUUGAUUAACUUCUAUGGAAAACGUAUUUUAACUAGUUAUGGAAAACAUAUUUUUUUUUUAAAAAACUUUUCUAUAAGAUACAAGUAAUACUUUAAAAAAAUUGUGAUAUCUAAAAAAUUUUUUGAAAAAUUAUUUUUAAAGAAAUAAGGUAAAUCUAUACUUUUUGUAUAAGAUGUUCUACCUUUAUAUACAAAUUUCUGAUUUUUUUUUUAAAAGUGUAUCCAAAUGGACACUAAACUAUCUAGUUUUUAAUUGUUACAACUUUGAAUUGGAUUUUAUGGUAAACUAAUUUACAAGUUAAUGCAUGGAUUCAUCUUAGAUUCCAUCUAUAAAUUUUUUUAAUUAUCUAAUAUAAGACAUUAUAUUAAUGGGUUGAAUUAAUAAUGUAAUUAUAAUUUAUUUGGCAAGUUUCUUCCUUCAAAUAUAUAAAAUGAAAAUAAAUUUUAAAAAAUAAAAAAAAUGAAAAAAAUAAAAAAUAAAAAAAGAUUUUUUUUAUAGUUUUUCUAAGAUGAUUUUGUAGAGUACUGUUAGUUUAUAGUUUUAACUUUAUUUCAUUUUACUUUUAACUUUAUUUAUUGAGGUAUGUUCUUUUUUGAAACUCUUGUUUAGAUUUUAUAGAGGAUAUAAAUUUUCAGAAAAAAAAAAUUAAAUUUAAAUAAAAUAGGAAUAAAGAAAGGCAAAAGGUGGAUGAAUUUUUUUAAGGCAAAAGUUUGAUAACUUGGCACUAUCAUGUAAUGGGUGAAAUUUUUAAAUACUCAACAAAGGCUAGUGAAAUUUAAAUUAAAAGCUUGACAUGUACCUUUUCGACCAAAAUCUUUGGAGUUGGUGUAAAGUUUUGAGUAUGAGAGAGGUUAGUCUAGGGAAUAUUAUUGCACAUUAGUUCAAAUAAAACAUCAACAUUUUUUUUUUUGUUAAAUUCUAAAUGAACACCACUAUAAAUUAAUGCGAUUUGUAUGCUCAAUUAAAUAAACUCGUUCUUAAGGCAUCACAUGAAGUGUUUAAGUCUAAUUAAUAUUAAUUAAAAAUGAUUAUUUUAAAAAAAUCCAAAGUAAUUUAUUUUUAUCAUAAGUCAAGUAGGAUAGUUUUAUAAAUAAUUGGUUCUAGUUUCUAGUAUUAUUGUACACAAUCGCUAUGUUUGUUGCACCUCCAAAAAAUCUACUACUUGUAAUUAAUUGUAUAUUAUUCUCCAUAUUCACAUCAGUUUAUGUAGUAUGAUUAAUUUAGCAACAAAAUAUAAGUUUACUUGAAAUCGCUUUAAAUUCCUAUGAUAUUAAAGUUUAAGAUUAAAACAAUGUAACAUUAGCCAAAAAGACUAAGAUCUAUAAUGUAACAUAUAAAAUUUAGAAAAUUCAAGGAAGGGUAAACUCGCACCUGUUCUACCCAGAAGAGUGGCUCAAGUUCACAUUCAGAAUUUAUUUGUUGAAAGAGUAUCUCCACUUUAUCACAAUCGAGCACUUCCAAUUCUUUCAGAAGUGGCCAGCUUGAACUAAACCUUCUAGAGCAAAAUCUUUUGAGUUGGUGUAAACCGGAGAGUGUGAGAGAGGUAAGGUUAGGGAAUGAGAGUAAAGGUGCUGCUUCAUCUUCAUUUUCAUUGGCAACAAUUGCCUCCACUCCACUCUCCGAUAUAUAAAGGUCCUCAAGUUGCACAAGAGCACUCGCCACAGAAACCGGAAAAAGGUUUAGCAAUUUGUUGCAUCCCCUUACUUGCAAUUUCCUUAAUUUGGAAAAUGAAUUUGCUGGAAGUUGGUCAGGCCACAAUGCUCUUAUAUUAUCUAGUCCGCGUACAGACAAGGACUCCAAACCUGGGAGUGCAACCUGUGCAAUUGAUGAUCCCUUUAGUUAAUAAUAUAUACAUAUACAUUCCUAAUAAUUAGACACAUGUAAAUAGAAAAUAAGAGGUUAAAGGAGAAUAUAUCAGUAUAACAAAGCACAAAAUUUAAACUCUAUUCAAGAAGAUCCAGAAAGAGAAAAGAAAACGCCUUUUGAUUUUGAAGAUCCAAUGAAACUUUAAAAAAAAAAAAAAAAACCUCCAAAUUUUGCUUUCCAAAUGAGGUAAUAGGAGGAUAUUUUUAUUUUAUUUUUUCUUUGCCUCUCUUUCAAAUUUGAUUAACUUCCAUGGAAAACGUAUUUUAACUAGCCAUGGAAAAUGGAUUUUUUUUUUAAAACUUUUAUAUAAGAUACAAGAACUCUUAGAGGGUUACAUUAUGUAAGUAAUACUUUAAAAAAAAUGUUUAAAAAUAUUGUGAUAUCCAAAAAUUUUACUACCUCGGAUUUUAAAUUUUAAAAAAAUUAUUUUUAAAGAAAUAAGGUAAAUCUAUACUUUUUCGUAUAAGAUAUUCUACCUUUAUAUACAAAUUUCUGAUUUUUUUUUUAAAGUGUAUCCAAAUGGACACUAAACUAUCUAGUUUCGAAUUUUUACAACUUUGAAUUGGAUUUUAUGGUAAACUAAUUGACAAUAUAACGCAUGGAUUCAUCUUAGAUUCCAUCUAUAAAUUUUUUAAUUAUCUAAUAUAAGACAUUAUAUUAAUGGGUUGAAUUAAUAAUGUAAUUAUAAUUUAUUUGGCAACUUUCUUCCUUCAAAUAUAUAAGACGAAAAUAUAUUUUAAAAAAUAAAAAAGAAUGAUAAAAAAUAGAAAAUAAAAAUAGCUUAUUUUAUUGUUUUUCUAAGAUGAUUUUGUAGAGUGUUAGUUUAUAGUUUAACUUUAUUUCAUUUUACUUUUAACAUUAUUUAUUGAGGUAUGUUCUUUUUUGAAACUCUUGUUUAGAUUUUAUAGAGAAUAUAAAUUUUAAGAAAAAAAAUGAAAUUUAAAUAAAAUAAGAAUAAAGAAAGGCAAAAGGUGGAUGAAUUUUUUGAAGGCAAAAGUUUGAUAAUUUGGCACUGUCAUGUAAUGGGUGAAAUUUUUAAAUACUCAACAAAGGCUAGUGAAAUUUAAAUUAAAACCUUGACAUGUACCUUUUCGACCAAAAUCUUUGGAGUUGGUGUAAAGUUUUGAGUAUGAGAGAGGUUAGUCUAGGGAAUAUUAUUGCACAUUAGUUCAAAUAAAACAUCAACAUUUUUUUUUGUUAAAUUCUAAAUGAACACCACUAUAAAUUAAUGCGAUUUUGUAUGCUCAAUUAAAUAAACUCGUUCUUAAGGCAUCACAUGAAGUGUUUAAGUCUAAUUAAUAUUAAUUAAAAAUGAUUAUAUCAAAAAAAAUCCAAAGUAAUUUUUUUUUAUCAUAAGUCAAGUAGGAUAGUUUUAUAAAUAAUUGGUUCUAGUUUCUAGUAUUAUUGUACACAAUCGCUAUGUUUGUUGCACCUCCAAAAAAUCUACUACUUGUAAUUAAUUGUAUAUUAUUCUCCAUAUUCACAUCAGUUUAUGUAGUAUGAUUAAUUUAGCAACAAAAUAUAAGUUUACUUGAAAUCGCUUUAAAUUCCUAUGAUAUUAAAGUUUAAGAUUAAAACAAUGUAACAUUAGCCAAAAAGACUAAGAUCUAUAAUGUAACAAAUAAAAUUUAGAAAAUUCAAGGCAGGGUAAACUCGCACCUGUUCUACCCAGAAGAGUGGCUCAAGUUCACAUUCAGAAUUUAUUUGUUGAAAGAGUAUCUCCACUUUAUCACAAUCGAGCACUUCCAAUUCUUUCAGAAGUAGCCAGCUUGAACUAAACCUUCUAGAGCAAAAUCUUUUGAGUUGGUGUAAACCGGAGAGUGUGAGAGAGGUAAGGUUAGGGAAUAAGAGUAAAGGUGCUGCUUCAUCUUCAUUUUCAUUGGCAACAAUUGCCUCCACUCCACUCUCCGAUAUAUAUAGGUCCUCAAGUUGCACAAGAGCACUCGCCACAGAAACCCGAAAAAGGUUUAGCAAUUUGUUGAAUCCCCUUACAUGCAAUUUCCUUAAUUUGGAAAAUGAAUUUGUUGGAAGUUGGUCAGGCCACAAUGCUCUUAUAUUAUCCAGUCCGCAUACAUACAAGGACUCCAAGCCUUGGAGUGCAACCUGUGCAAUUGAUAAUCCCUUUGGUUAAUAAUAUAUACAUAUACAUUCCUAAUGAUUAGACACAUGUAAAUAGAAAAUAAGAGGUUAAAGGAGAAUAUAUCAGUAUAACAAAGCACAAAAUUUAAACUAGAUUAAAGAAGAUCAAGAAAGAGAAAAGAAAAGAAAAAGCCUCCAGAUUUUGAAGAUACAAUGAAACUUAAAAAAAAAAAAAAAAAACCUCCAAAUUUUCCUUUCGAAAUGAGGUAAUAAGAGGAUUUUUUUUUUCUUUUUUCUUUGCCUCUCUUUCAAAUUUGAUUAACUUCUAUGGAAAACGUAUUUUAACUAGUUAUGGAAAACGGAUUUUUUUUUUUAAAAACUUUUAUAUAAGAUACAAGUAAUACUUUAAAAAAAUUGUGAUAUCUAAAAAAUUUUUUGAAAAAUUAUUUUUAAAGAAAUAAGGUAAAUCUAUACUUUUUGUAUAAGAUGUUCUACCUUUGUAUUCAAAUUUCUGAUUUUUUUUUUUUAAAGUGUAUCCAAAUGCACACUAAACUAUCUAGUUUUUAAUUGUUACAACUUUGAAUUGGAUUUUAUGGUAAACUAAUUUACAAGUUAAUGCAUAGAUUCAUCUUAGAUUCCAUCUAUAAAUUUUUUUAAUUAUCUAAUAUAAGACAGUAUAUUAAUGGGUUGAAUUAAUAAUGUAAUUAUAAUUUAUUUGGCAACUUUCUUCCUUCAAAUAUAUAAAAUGAAAAUAAAUUUUAAAAAAUAAAAAAUAAAAAAAAGAUUUUUUUUAUAGUUUUUCUAAGAUGAUUUUGUAGAGUUCUGUUAGUUUAUAGUUUUCACUUUAUUUAUUGAGGUAUGUUCUUUUUUGAAACUCUUGUUUAGAUUUUAUUGAGAAUAUAAAUUUUAAGAAAAAAAAUAAAAUUUAAAUAAAAUAAGAAUAAAGAAAGGCAAAAGCUGGAUGAAUUUUUUUAAGGCAAAAGUUUGAUAAUUUGGCACUCUCAUGUAAUGGGUGAAAUUUUUAAAUACUCAACAAAGGCUAGUGAAAUUUAAAUUAAAACCAUGACAUGUACCUUUUAGACCAAAAUCUUUGGAGUUGGUGUAAUGUUUUGAGUAUGAGAGAGGUUAGUCUAGGGAAUAUUAUUGCACAUUAGUUCAAAUAAAACAUCAACAUUUUUUUUUGUUAAAUUCUAAAUGAACACCACUAUAAAUUAAUGCGAUUUUGUAUGCUCAAUUAAAUAAACUCGUUCUUAAGGCAUCACAUGAAGUGUUUAAGUCUAAUUAAUAUUAAUUAAAAAUGAUUAUAGUAAAAAAAAUCCAAAGUAAUUUUUUUUUAUCAUAAGUCAAGUAGGAUAGUUUUAUAAAUAAUUGGUUCUAGUUUCUAGUAUUAUUGUAGACAAUCGCUAUGUUUGUUGCACCUCCAAAAAAUCUACUACUUGUAAUUAAUUGUAUAUUAUUCUCCAUAUUCACAUCAGUUUAUGUAGUAUGAUUAAUUUAGCAACAAAAUAUAAGUUUACUUGAAAUGGCUUUAAAUUCCUAUGAUAUUAAAGUUUAAGAUUAAAACAAUGUAACAUUAGCAAAAAAGAUUAAGAUCUAUAAUGUAACAAAUAAAAUUUAGAAAAUUCAAGGCAGGGUAAACUCGCACCUGUUCUACCCAGAAGAGUGGCUCAAGUUCACAUUCAGAAUUUAUUUGUUGAAAGAGUAUCUCCACUUUAUCACAAUCGAGCACUUCCAAUUCUUUCAGAAGUAGCCAGCUUGAACUAAACCUUCUAGAGCAAAAUCUUUUGAGUUGGUGUAAACCGGAGAGUGUGAGAGAGGUAAGGUUAGGGAAUAAGAGUAAAGGUGCUGCUUCAUCUUCAUUUUCAUUGGCAACAAUUGCCUCCACUCCACUCUCUGAUAUAUAUAGGUCCUCAAGUUGCACAAGAGCACUCGCCACAGAAACCCGAAAAAGGUUUAGCAAUUUGUUGAAUCCCCUUACAUGCAAUUUCCUUAAUUUGGAAAAUGAAUUUGUUGGAAGUUGGUCAGGCCACAAUGCUCUUAUAUUAUCCAGUCCGCAUACAUACAAGGACUCCAAGCCUGGGAGUGCAACCUGUGCAAUUGAUAAUCCCUUUGGUUAAUAAUAUAUACAUAUACAUUCCUAAUAAUUAGACACAUGUAAAUAGAAAAUAAGAGGUUAAAGGAGAAUAUAUCAGUAUAACAAAGCACAAAAUUUAAACUAGAUUAAAGAAGAUCAAGAAAGAGAAAAGAAAAGAAAAAGCCUCCAGAUUUUGAAGAUACAAUGAAACUUAAAAAAAAAAAAAAAAAACCUCCAAAUUUUCCUUUCGAAAUGAGGUAAUAAGAGGAUUUUUUUUUUAUUUUUUCUUUGCCUCUCUUUCAAAUUUGAUUAACUUCUAUGGAAAACGCAUUUUAACUAGUUAUGGAAAACGGAUUUUUUUUUUUUAAAACUUUUAUAUAAGAUACAAGUAAUACUUUAAAAAAAUUGUGAUAUCUAAAAAAUUUUUUGAAAAAUUAUUUUUAAAGAAAUAAGGUAAAUCUAUACUUUUUGUAUAAGAUGUUCUACCUUUGUAUUCAAAUUUCUGAUUUUUUUUUUUAAAGUGUAUCCAAAUGCACAAUAAACUACCUAGUUUUUAAUUGUUACAACUUUGAAUUGGAUUUUAUGGUAAACUAAUUUACAAGUUAAUGCAUGGAUUCAUCUUAGAUUCCAUCUAUAAAUUUUUUUAAUUAUCUAAUAUAAGACAUUAUAUUAAUGGGUUGAAUUAAUAAUGUAAUUAUAAUUUAUUUGGCAACUUUCUUCCUUCAAAUAUAUAAAAUGAAAAUAAAUUUUAAAAAAUAAAAAAAAUGAAAAAAUAAAAAAUAAAAAAAAGAUUUUUUUUAUAGUUUUUCUAAGAUGAUUUUGUAGAGUACUGUUAGUUUAUAGUUUUCACUUUAUUUAUUGAGGUAUGUUCUUUUUUGAAACUCUUGUUUAGAUUUUAUUGAGAAUAUAAAUUUUAAGAAAAAAAAUGAAAUUUAAAUAAAAUAAGAAUAAAGAAAGGCAAAAGGUGGAUGAAUUUUUUUACGGCAAAAGUUUGAUAAUUUGGCACUAUCAUGUAAUGGGUGAAAUUUUUAAAUACUCAACAAAGGCUAGUGAAAUUUAAAUUAAAACCUUGACAUGUACCUUUUAGACCAAAAUCUUUGGAGUUGGUGUAAAGUUUUGAGUAUGAGAGAGGUUAGUCUAGGGAAUAUUAUUGCACAUUAGUUCAAAUAAAACAUCAACAUUUUUUUUUGUUAAAUUCUAAAUGAACACCACUAUAAAUUAAUGCGAUUUUGUAUGCUCAAUUAAAUAAACUCGUUCUUAAGGCAUCACAUGAAGUAUUUAAGUCUAAUUAAUAUUAAUUAAAAAUGAUUAUAGUAAAAAAAAUCCAAAGUAAUUUUUUUUUAUCAUAAGUCAAGUAGGAUAGUUUUAUAAAUAAUUGGUUCUAGUUUCUAGUAUUAUUGUAGACAAUCGCUAUGUUUGUUGCACCUCCAAAAAAUCUACUACUUGUAAUUAAUUGUAUAUUAUUCUCCAUAUUCACAUCAGUUUAUGUAGUAUGAUUAAUUUAGCAACAAAAUAUAAGUUUACUUGAAAUGGCUUUAAAUUCCUAUGAUAUUAAAGUUUAAGAUUAAAACAAUGUAACAUUAGCCAAAAAGAUUAAGAUCUAUAAUGUAACAUAUAAAAUUUAGAAAAUUCAAGGAAGGGUAAACUCGCACCUGUUCUACCCAGAAGAGUGGCUCAAGUUCACAUUCAGAAUUUAUUUGUUGAAAGAGUAUCUCCACUUUAUCACAAUAGAGCACUUCCAAUUCUUUCAGAAGUGGCCAGCUUGAACUAAACCUUCUAGAGCAAAAUCUUUUGAGUUGGUGUAAACCGGAGAGUGUGAGAGAGGUAAGGUUAGGGAAUAAGAGUAAAGGUGCUGCCUCAUCUUCAUUUUCAUUGGCAACAAUUGCCUCCACUCCACUCUGAAAUAUAUUUAGGUUCUCAAGUUGCACAAGAGCACUCGCCACAGAAACCGGAAAAAGGUUUAGCAAUUUGUUGCAUCCCCUUACUUGCAAUUCCCUUAAUUUGGAAAAUGAAUUUGCUGGAAGUUGGUCAGGCCACAAUGCUCUUAUAUUAUCUAGUCCGCAUACAGAAAAGGACUCCAAGCCUGGGAGUGCAACCUGU